rnacentral:rRNA from 1 species
AGCGAACGCUGGCGGCAGGCCUAACACAUGCAAGUCGAACGAACCUUUCGGGGUUAGUGGCGGACGGGUGAGUAACACGUGGGAACGUGCCUUUAGGUUCGGAAUAACUCAGGGAAACUUGUGCUAAUACCGAAUGUGCCCUUCGGGGGAAAGAUUUAUCGCCUUUAGAGCGGCCCGCGUCUGAUUAGCUAGUUGGUUGAGGUAAUGGCUCACCAAGGCGACGAUCAGUAGCUGGUCUGAGAGGAUGAUCCGCCACAUUGGGACCGAGACACGGCCCAAACUCCUACGGGAUGCAGCAGUGGGGAAUCUUGCGCAAUGGGCGAAAGCCUGACGCAGCCAUGCCGCGUGAAUGAUGAAGGUCUUAGGAUUGUAAAAUUCUUUCACCGGGGACGAUAAUGACGGUACCCGGAGAAGAAGCCCCGGCUAACUUCGUG